GCUAAUGUGAAAUAAAAGAAACCGAAAAUAAUAAGGAAAAGGUAAAUGCAAAAUAAUUAAAUAAAGUUCGACUUUUUGUUUGGUCAAACCUUCUUUACUCAAAUUUGGGUAGAAUGCCUAGAAGAAUGAGUUGCGUUUCAUAAGAAUUACAUUAAACUUUUGAAUGAGUUGUCGCGUUUCAGCGUGCAUGGUUGAAUUUUGUUAGCUGCUUGCUCGAGAACGACAGUCAUUUGACGAACGCGAAAAGAGUAGGAUGUGCGCGAGAAAUCGAGAGUUGCACAUUUUUGAACAUGGGACAAUUAUGCGUAGAACGGCAGUUCAAGUAGAUAAACACGAAAGAAGAAACUGUGGGAUGUUGGCGCUGAAACAGUCUUGAAAUCAAAAAGGGACCAACGUUGGCGAAUUCCUGCUAAAAUAAUGGCCACUCGCAAACGAAUGACGAUUCUAAUAACCCGCUGGCGGCGAUUCACAUGGAUUUGGAUAAUAACAACGUAUACUCUGGCCGCCAAAACAUCAUGGCAUUUAUGCAUCGUCCGGUGAGCUUAAUCGAGCAAGAAACUUCUCCAAUCGCGCCAUGUACGACUUCGUAAGCCCAUGGGUCACAUGAUUACAAUCAUUGUUGAGCGACCGAAAUCGCAACGAUGAUAAUCUUUUAAAUCCAGCAUAAAGUUGAAGAUAAGAAUGUACCAUAACAGUCCAAAGAAGUGAAUAAAGUCGUAAGCCAUGAAUGCAAGUUAUUGAUCCCUA